rnacentral:rRNA from 1 species
AUUGAACGCUGGCGGCAUGCUUUACACAUGCAAGUCGAACGGCAGCGCGGGCUUCGGCCUGGCGGCGAGUGGCGAACGGGUGAGUAAUGCAUCGGAACGUGCCCAGUAGUGGGGGAUAGCCCGGCGAAAGCCGGAUUAAUACCGCAUACGACCUGAGGGUGAAAGCGGGGGACCGAAAGGCCUCGCGCCAUCGGAGCGGCCGUUGUCGGAUUAGCUAGUGGGUGGGGUAAAGGCUUACCAAGGCGACGAUCCGUAGCUGGUCUGAGAGGACGACCAGCCACACUGGGACUGAGACACGGCCCAGACUCCUGCGGGAGGCAGCAGUGGGGAAUUUUGGACAAUGGGGGCAACCCUGAUCCAGCCAUGCCGCGUGCGGGAAGAAGGCCUUCGGGUUGUAAACCGCUUUUGUUCGGGAAGAAAUCCUCUGGGCUAAUACCCCGGGGGGAUGACGGUACCGGAAGAAUAGGCACCGGCUAACUACGUG